rnacentral:misc_RNA from 1 species
GAUGAAGAACGCAGCGAAAUGCGAUACGUAAUGUGAAUUGCAGAAUUCAGUGAAUCAUCGAAUCUUUGAACGCAUAUUGCGCUCUCUGGUAUUCCGGAGAGCAUGCUUGUUUGAGUAUCAGUAAACACCUCAACUCCCCUUUCUUUUUUGAAAUGGGAGCUGGACUUGAGUGAUCCCAACGCUUUUCUCACCGAAAAGUGGCGGGUUACUUGAAAUGCAGGUGCAGCUGGACUUUUCUCUGAGCUAAAAGCAUAUCUAUUUAGUCUGCCUAAAAACAGAUUAUUACCUUUGCUGCAGCUAACAGAAAGGAGAUUAGUUCUUGUGCUGACUGAUGCAGGAUUCACAGAGACAGCUUCGGCUGGCCUUUGUAAACUCGAUCUCAAAUCAAGUAAGACUACCCGCUGAACUUAAGCAUAUCAAUAAGCGGAGGA